UUGCCUUGAGUAGGAUAUCAAAACAUCUAUUAGGUAACAACAAUUUCAUAUUAUUCAUUGUAUUUUAUUUAUUUUUUGUUCAUUAUAUUUAGCUGGUAAUGAAUCUUGCCCUCAACUUCAGACUUCUGAACAGCUAGCUGCCAAAGAAAUUAUAAAACUGAAACAUAUUUUGAUUCUACAAAAUAAAAUUGAUUUGGUAAAAGAAAGUCAGGCUAAAGAACAGUAUGAACAGAUCCUUGCAUUUGUACAAGGUAUAGUGGCAGGACUUCCUAUUAUUUUAAUUUCUGUUCAGUUGAAAUACCAUAUUGAAGUCUGUGAGUAUAUUGUAAAGAAAAUUUCAGUACCUUUAAGAGACUUUACCUCAGAACCUCAACUUAUUGUUAAUAGAUCUUUAGAU